rnacentral:rRNA from 1 species
UACGGGGGGGGUAAGCGUUGUUCGGAAUUACUGGGCGUAAAGGGCUCGUAGGCGGCCAACUAAGUCGGACGUGAAAUCCCUCAGCUUAACUGGGGAACUGCGUCCGAUACUGGAUGGCUUGGAUUUGGGAGAGGGAUGCGGAAUUCCAGGUGUAGCGGUGAAAUGCGUAGAUAUGCGGAGGAACACCGAUGGCGAAGGCAGUCCCGUGGGCCUGUACUGACGCUAAUGCACGAAAGCGUGGGGAGCAAACAGG